GGUUAAGCGACUAAGCGUACACGGUGGAUGCCCUGGCAGUCAGAGGCGAUGAAGGACGUGCUAAUCUGCGAAAAGCGUCGGUAAGGUGAUAUGAACCGUUAUAACCGGCGAUGUCCGAAUGGGGAAACCCAGUGCAAUUCGUUGCACUAUCGUUAACUGAAUACAUAGGUUAACGAGGCGAACCGGGGGAACUGAAACAUCUAAGUACCCCGAGGAAAAGAAAUCAACCGAGAUUCCCCCAGUAGCGGCGAGCGAACGGGGAGCAGCCCAGAGUCUGAAUCAGCUUGUGUGUUAGUGGAACGGUCUGGAAAGUCCGACGGUACAGGGUGAUAGUCCCGUACACCAAAAUGCACAGGCUGUGAACUCGAAGAGUAGGGCGGGACACGUGGUAUCCUGUCUGAAUAUGGGGGGACCAUCCUCCAAGGCUAAAUACUCCUGACUGACCGAUAGUGAACCAGUACCGUGAGGGAAAGGCGAAAAGAACCCCGGCGAGGGGAGUGAAAAAGAACCUGAAACCGUGUACGUACAAGCAGUGGGAGCACCUUCGGGUGUGACUGCGUACCUUUUGUAUAAUGGGUCAGCGACUUAUAUUCUGUAGCAAGGUUAACCGUAUAGGGGAGCCGCAGGGAAACCGAGUCUUAACUGGGCGUUAAGUUGCAGGGUAUAGACCCGAAACCCGGUGAUCUAGCCAUGGGCAGGUUGAAGGUUGGGUAACACUAACUGGAGGACCGAACCGACUAAUGUUGAAAAAUUAGCGGAUGACUUGUGGCUGGGGGUGAAAGGCCAAUCAAACCGGGAGAUAGCUGGUUCUCCCCGAAAGCUAUUUAGGUAGCGCCUCGUGAACUCAUCUUCGGGGGUAGAGCACUGUUUCGGCUAGGGGGUCAUCCCGACUUACCAACCCGAUGCAAACUACGAAUACCGAAGAAUGUUAUCACGGGAGACACACGGCGGGUGCUAACGUCCGUCGUGAAGAGGGAAACAACCCAGACCGCCAGCUAAGGUCCCAAAGUCAUGGUUAAGUGGGAAACGAUGUGGGAAGGCACAGACAGCCAGGAUGUUGGCUUAGAAGCAGCCAUCAUUUAAAGAAAGCGUAAUAGCUCACUGGUCGAGUCGGCCUGCGCGGAAGAUGUAACGGGGCUAAACCAUGCACCGAAGCUGCGGCAGCGACACUAUGUGUUGUUGGGUAGGGGAGCGUUCUGUAAGCCUGCGAAGGUGUGCUGUGAGGCAUGCUGGAGGUAUCAGAAGUGCGAAUGCUGACAUAAGUAACGAUAAAGCGGGUGAAAAGCCCGCUCGCCGGAAGACCAAGGGUUCCUGUCCAACGUUAAUCGGGGCAGGGUGAGUCGACCCCUAAGGCGAGGCCGAAAGGCGUAGUCGAUGGGAAACAGGUUAAUAUUCCUGUACUUGGUGUUACUGCGAAGGGGGGACGGAGAAGGCUAUGUUAGCCGGGCGACGGUUGUCCCGGUUUAAGCAUGUAGGCUGGUUAUCCAGGCAAAUCCGGAUAAUCAAGGCUGAGGUGUGAUGACGAGGCACUACGGUGCUGAAGUAACAAAUGCCCUGCUUCCAGGAAAAGCCUCUAAGCAUCAGGUAACAUCAAAUCGUACCCCAAACCGACACAGGUGGUCAGGUAGAGAAUACCAAGGCGCUUGAGAGAACUCGGGUGAAGGAACUAGGCAAAAUGGUGCCGUAACUUCGGGAGAAGGCACGCUGGUGUGUAGGUGAAGUCCCUGCGGAUGGAGCUGAGACCAGUCGAAGAUACCAGCUGGCUGCAACUGUUUAUUAAAAACACAGCACUGUGCAAACACGAAAGUGGACGUAUACGGUGUGACGCCUGCCCGGUGCCGGAAGGUUAAUUGAUGGGGUUAUCCGUAAGGAGAAGCUCUUGAUCGAAGCCCCGGUAAACGGCGGCCGUAACUAUAACGGUCCUAAGGUAGCGAAAUUCCUUGUCGGGUAAGUUCCGACCUGCACGAAUGGCGUAAUGAUGGCCAGGCUGUCUCCACCCGAGACUCAGUGAAAUUGAACUCGCUGUGAAGAUGCAGUGUACCCGCGGCAAGACGGAAAGACCCCGUGAACCUUUACUAUAGCUUGACACUGAACAUUGAGCCUUGAUGUGUAGGAUAGGUGGGAGGCUUUGAAGCGUGGACGCCAGUCUGCGUGGAGCCAACCUUGAAAUACCACCCUUUAAUGUUUGAUGUUCUAACGUUGGCCCCUGACCGGGGUUGCGGACAGUGUCUGGUGGGUAGUUUGACUGGGGCGGUCUCCUCCCAAAGCGUAACGGAGGAGCACGAAGGUUAGCUAAUCCUGGUCGGACAUCAGGAGGUUAGUGCAAUGGCAUAAGCUAGCUUGACUGCGAGCGUGACGGCGCGAGCAGGUGCGAAAGCAGGUCAUAGUGAUCCGGUGGUUCUGAAUGGAAGGGCCAUCGCUCAACGGAUAAAAGGUACUCCGGGGAUAACAGGCUGAUACCGCCCAAGAGUUCAUAUCGACGGCGGUGUUUGGCACCUCGAUGUCGGCUCAUCACAUCCUGGGGCUGAAGUAGGUCCCAAGGGUAUGGCUGUUCGCCAUUUAAAGUGGUACGCGAGCUGGGUUUAGAACGUCGUGAGACAGUUCGGUCCCUAUCUGCCGUGGGCGCUGGAGAAUUGAGGGGGGCUGCUCCUAGUACGAGAGGACCGGAGUGGACGCAUCACUGGUGUUCGGGUUGUCAUGCCAAUGGCACUGCCCGGUAGCUAAAUGCGGAAGAGAUAAGUGCUGAAAGCAUCUAAGCACGAAACUUGCCCCGAGAUGAGUUCUCCCUGAGACUUUAAGUCUCCUGAAGGAACGUUAAAGACGAUGACGUUGAUAGGCCGGGUGUGUAAGCGCAGCGAUGCGUUGAGCUAACCGGUACUAAUGAACCGUGAGGCUUAACCUU
rnacentral:rRNA from 35 species